AGCCACCUCUAGCUCCACCAACACCCCCAAAACAAACCUUUCCCCAUCCCCCUAAACUAAACCAUUACUCCAACACCCUAGUAUAGGCGAUAGAAAAGAACAUAUGGAUGCAAUAGAGAACACGUACCGCAAGGGAAAUAUGAAAUAACAAUGAAACCCAGAGCAAAAAACAGCAAAGAUAAACCCUUGUACCUCUUGCAUCAUGAUCUAGCAAGAAUAACCAGGCUAAGCGAACUUAAGCCUGCCCUCCCGAAACCCAAGCGAGCUACUUACAAGCAGCUACUUAUCUGAGCGAACCCGUCUCUGUAGCAAAAGAGUGGGAUGACUUGUCAGUAGGGGUGAAAAGCCUAUCGAGCUGGGUGAUAGCUGGUUGCCUGUGAAAGGAAUCUAAGUCCCACCUUAACCUGCCCAACAGGACAAAAAACUCAAUACGAUCGAGGUUAAGAGCGCCUUAAAGGGGGUACAGCCCCUUUAAAAAGGGAUACAACCCACACCAGCGGAUAAACCUUACAACAUAACGAACAGUAGGCCUUAAAGCAGCCACCUAUAAAGAGUGCGUCAAAGCUCCUUACUUUAAAAAUCCUAUAACAGAGUGACUCCCUCACCACUAACAGGCCAAUCUAUCAGUAUAGAAGAACUAAUGCUACAAUGAGUAACCUGAGAACUCCUCUCUAUAGCGCAAGCUUACAAACCAUUAACAGACCAAAAUAACACCACCAUUCCACAAGAACCCCCUAUUACCCCCCCCCCGUUACCCCCCCCCAGGAGCGCAUAUUAAAAAAAUUAAAAUUCGUAAAAGGAACUAGGCAACCAAAAGACCCGACUGUUUACCAAAAACACAGCCUUCAGCCAACCAAGUAUUGAAGGUGAUGCCUGCCCGGUGACACCCAGUUUAACGGCCGCGGUAUCCUAACCGUGCAAAGGUAGCGCAAUCAAUUGUCCCAUAAAUCGGGACCUGUAUGAACGGCUAAACGAGGUCUUAACUGUCUCUUACGAACAAUCAGUGAAAUUGAUCUCCCCGUGCAAAAGCAGGGAUACACACAUAAGACGAGAAGACCCUGUGGAACUUUAAAAUCAAAGGCCACCAACCCCCACCCCACAACGCCCCUACUGGGCCCCCCACAAUACACCUGGCCCUUAUUUUUCGGUUGGGGCGACCUUGGAGAAAAACAAACCCUCCAAAACAACAGACCUCAAUUCUUGACCUAGAGCUACACCUCGACGUGCUAAUAGCAACACAGACCCGACAGCAGAUCGAGUAAUGAACCAAGCUACCCCAGGGAUAACAGCGCAAUCCCCUCCAAGAGCCCCCAUCGACGAGGGGGUUUACGACCUCGAUGUUGGAUCAGGACAUCCUAAUGGUGCAGCCGCUAUUAAGGGUUCGUUUGUUCAACGAUUAACAGUCCUACGUGAUCUGAGUUCAGACCGGAGCAAUCCAGGUCGGUUUCUAUCUAUGAUAAACUCUUCCCAGUACGAAAGGACCGAAAGAGUGGGGCCACUACCCAACAGCACGCCCCCACAAAAGUAGUGAACUCAACUCAACUACCCCUCACACACCUAUAACCCUAGAAAAGGGCA
rnacentral:rRNA from 1 species